UUAGCUGUCAUAGUUUUUGCUGUCAUUUUCAAACUAAGAGAGAAGCAAGACAGAAACUAUAUCGUAACUAACUUUAUUUCUAACCCAGAAAUAGUUGUUCCGAGAUUGAUUUAUACAAUGAUUGGUUUCUCCGUAGUUCUGUUCGUCAUUGAUAUCAUUCAUAGGAAGGUUGCGUAUUUCAUAGUUCGAAAAGAAAAUCACAGAAAUUACGAAUCGAUCAGCCGUUCCCUUACAAAACAUCUUUACAUAAUGUGUUUCCCUAUGCCUAUGUUUAUGCUUGGUUACUUUGGAUUUCAAAGGAAAAUUUUUAAACUGUGGAGCGGUGUGGAAAAAACAGGCUAUUAUGGUCCAAAUGACGAAUAC